rnacentral:rRNA from 4 species
GACCUCAGAUCAGGCAAGGCUACCCGCUGAAUUUAAGCAUAUC